AGGGACAUUCUUACACAUGUUACCUGGAAACUAAGUGGAUUACCCAAACACCGCGUGAUUGGAAGUGGAUGUAAUCUGGAUUCUGCUAGAUUUCGCUACCUUAUGGCUGAAAAACUUGGCAUUCAUCCCAGCAGCUGCCAUGGAUGGAUUUUGGGGGAACAUGGCGACUCAAGUGUGGCUGUGUGGAGUGGCGUGAAUGUGGCAGGGGUUUCUCUCCAGGAAUUGAAUCCAGAAAUGGGAACUGACAAUGAUAGUGAAAAUUGGAAGGAAGUGCAUAAGAUGGUGGUUGAAAGUGCCUAUGAAGUCAUCAAGCUAAAAGGAUAUACCAACUGGGCUAUUGGAUUAAGUGUGGCUGCUCUUAUUGAAUCCAUGUUGAAAAAUCUAUCCAGGAUUCAUCCCGUGUCAACAAUGGUAAAGGGAAUGUAUGGCAUCGAGAAUGAAGUCUUCCUGAACCUUCCAUGUAUCCUCAAUGCCCGAGGAUUAACCAGCGUUAUCAACCAGAAGCUAAAGGAUGAUGAAGUUGCUCAGCUCAAGAAAAGUGCGGAUACCCUGUGGGACAUCCAGAAGGACCUAAAAGACCUGUGACUACUGGGCUCUAGGCUAUAGAAAUUUAAAAACUUACAAUGUUAUUAACUCUGAGCCUUUAGUUUUCAUCUGUGUACACGGAUCGCAGUUUGCUUUGAUCUUCUUCGAUAUGUGAAUUUGGGCUCAUAGAAUCAAAGCCUAUGCUUGGUUUAAUGCUUGCAACAUGAGCUCUUGAACAAAUAAAAUUAACCAUUGUAGUGU